rnacentral:rRNA from 1 species
GUUUGAAAGGUCCUUUUGGAUCGCUAGAGGAUGGUCUUGCGGCGUAUUAGCUUGUUGGUAGGGUAGAAGCCUACCAAGGCAAUGAUGCGUAGCCGAGUUGAGAGACUGGCCGGCCACAUUGGGACUGAGACACUGCCCAAACUCCUACGGGAGGCUGCAGUAGGGAAUUUUCCGCAAUGCACGAAAGUGUGACGGAGCGACGCCGCGUGUGUGAUGAAGGCUUUCGGGUCGUAAAGCACUGUUGUAAGGGAAGAAUAACUGAAUUCAGAGAAAGUUUUCAGCUUGACGGUACCUUACCAGAAAGGGAUGGCUAAAUACGUGCCAGCAGCCGCGGUAAUACGUAUGUCCCGAGCGUUAUCCGGAUUUAUUGGGCGUAAAGCGAGCGCAGACGGUUUAUUAAGUCUGAUGUGAAAUCCCGAGGCCCAACCUCGGAACUGCAUUGGAAACUGAUUUACUUGAGUGCGAUAGAGGCAAGUGGAACUCCAUGUGUAGCGGUGAAAUGCGUAGAUAUGUGGAAGAACACCAGUGGCGAAAGCGGCUUGCUAGAUCGUAACUGACGUUGAGGCUCGAAAGUAUGGGUAGCAAACGGGAUUAGAUACCCCGGUAGUCCAUAC